AUUGAACGCUGGCGGCAUGCCUUACACAUGCAAGUCGAACGGCAGCACGGGUGCUUGCACCUGGUGGCGAGUGGCGAACGGGUGAGUAAUACAUCGGAACAUGUCCUGUCGUGGGGGAUAGCCCGGCGAAAGCCGGAUUAAUACCGCAUACGAUCUCCGGAUGAAAGCGGGGGACCUUCGGGCCUCGCGCUAUAGGGUUGGCCGAUGGCUGAUUAGCUAGUUGGUGGGGUAAAGGCCUACCAAGGCGACGAUCAGUAGCUGGUCUGAGAGGACGACCAGCCACACUGGAACUGAGACACGGCCCAGACUCCUACGGGAGGCAGCAGUGGGGAAUUUUGGACAAUGGGCGAAAGCCUGAUCCAGCAAUGCCGCGUGUGUGAAGAAGGCCUUCGGGUUGUAAAGCACUUUUGUCCGGAAAGAAAUCCUUGGCCCUAAUACGGUCGGGGGAUGACGGUACCGGAAGAAUAAGCACCGGCUAACUACGUG
rnacentral:rRNA from 1 species